rnacentral:rRNA from 1 species
AAACUGCAGUCGAGCGGACAGAUGGGAGCUUGCUCCCUGAUGUUAGCGGCGGACGGGUGAGUAACACGUGGGUAACCUGCCUGUAAGACUGGGAUAACUCCGGGAAACCGGGGCUAAUACCGGAUGGUUGUUUGAACCGCAUGGUUCAAACAUAAAAGGUGGCUUCGGCUACCACUUACAGAUGGACCCGCGGCGCAUUAGCUAGUUGGUGAGGUAACGGCUCACCAAGGCAACGAUGCGUAGCCGACCUGAGAGGGUGAUCGGCCACACUGGGACUGAGACACGGCCCAGACUCCUACGGGAGGCAGCAGUAGGGAAUCUUCCGCAAUGGACGAAAGUCUGACGGAGCAACGCCGCGUGAGUGAUGAAGGUUUUCGGAUCGUAAAGCUCUGUUGUUAGGGAAGAACAAGUACCGUUCGAAUAGGGCGGUACCUUGACGGUACCUAACCAGAAAGCCACGGCUAACUACGUGCCAGCAGCCGCGGUAAUACGUAGGUGGCAAGCGUUGUCCGGAAUUAUUGGGCGUAAAGGGCUCGCAGGCGGUUUCUUAAGUCUGAUGUGAAAGCCCCCGGCUCAACCGGGGAGGGUCAUUGGAAACUGGGGAACUUGAGUGCAGAAGAGGAGAGUGGAAUUCCACGUGUAGCGGUGAAAUGCGUAGAGAUGUGGAGGAACACCAGUGGCGAAGGCGACUCUCUGUUCUGUAACUGACGCUGAGGACCGAAAGCGUGGGGACUGCGCGU